UGGGGAAUAUUGGACAAUGGGCGCAAGCCUGAUCCAGCAAUGCCGCGUGUGUGAAGAAGGCCUUCGGGUUGUAAAGCACUUUUAUCAGGAACGAAAAGCGUGGGGUUAAUACCUUUACGUGCUGACGGUACCUGAGGAAUAAGCACCGGCUAACUUCGUGCCAGCAGCCGCGGUAAUACGAAGGGUGCAAGCGUUAAUCGGAAUUACUGGGCGUAAAGCGUGCGUAGAUGGUUUGUUAAGUCGGAUGUGAAAGCCCCGGGCUCAACCUGGGAACUGCAUCCGAUACUGGCAGACUAGAGUGUGGUAGAGGAUGGCGGAAUUCCCGGUGUAGCGGUGAAAUGCGUAGAGAUCGGGAGGAACAUCCGUGGCGAAGGCGGCCAUCUGGACCAACACUGACGUUGAGGCACGAAAGCGUGGGGAGCAAACAGGAUUAGAUACCCGUGUAGUCCCUGAGCGGGCUGGCAAGGCGCAU
rnacentral:rRNA from 1 species